rnacentral:rRNA from 1 species
AUUGAACGCUGGCGGCAGGCCUAACACAUGCAAGUCGAGCGGAGCGGCGGACGGGGGGGUAAUGCCUAGGAAACUGCCUGGUAGUGGGGGAGAAAGUACGGAAAAGGGCGCUAAUAACGCAUACUAGCAGAUGAGCCUAGGUCGGAUUAGCUAGUUGGUGGGGUAAAGGGCUACAAAGGCGACGAUCCGUAACUGGUCUGAGAGGAUGAUCAGUCACACUGGAACUGAGACACGGUCCAGACUCCUACGGGAGGCAGCAGUGGGGAAUAUUGGACAAUGGGCGAAAGCCUGAUCCAGCCAUGCCGCGUGUGUGAAGAAGGUCUUCGGAUUGUAAAGCACUUUAAGUUGGGAGGCGUUACCAACAGAAUAAGCACCGGCUAACUUCGUGCCAGCAGCCGCGGUAAUUC